UCAGGUGAUGGUCAUUGGCCAAAGGAUCAAGAAAGGUAAAAGAGCUGACGAACUGAUGAAGGGUGAUCAGAAAGGAAUUCAGAUCCAUACGAGUAAGGAUGGGAGUCCAGAGACAUACAGGGACCCUGAAACUACUGACUAGUCCACAUGGCCCCUGGUACAACAUCCUCCAAUGCCCAUCCAUUGGGCAGUACAGGGUAAGCCUCGGAUUGCCUGAGUCACCUGAUGACUGGAAGCCAACUCUGGCACUGCUCAGGACUGGGAGCAGAGUGACUGGGUCGUCUGGAAGGCAGCCACACAGUGGCUGAAGACUCAGAGAGUGCCCAAGGGGAUUAAGGAUGAGGGAAUGGAAGC
rnacentral:lncRNA from 10 species